GGGAAACUCACCAGGUCCAGACAUAACUAGGAUUGACAGAUUGAUAGCUCUUUCUUGAUUUUAUGGGUGGUGGUGCAUGGCCGUUCUUAGUUGGUGGAGUGAUUUGUCUGGUUAAUUCCGAUAACGAACGAGACCUUAACCUGCUAAAUAGCCAGGCCGGCUUUUGCUGGUCGCCGGCUUCUUAGAGGGACUAUCAGCGUCUAGCUGAUGGAAGUUUGAGGCAAUAA
rnacentral:rRNA from 1 species